CAGAAGCACAGAAAGGAAGUGUUUAGCUCUAGAAAGCCAUUCCAAAGAGGGAAUAAAGAGCACUAGCCGUGUCAAAUGCUGUGGUUCCUGCAACAGAGAAAUCUUCGCAGGGAUGGCUGAGGAGACUGCCAGCCGUGCGUAACAUCACUGCUGCAUAACACAUCUUUCCCUCCUAGAUUUGCCUCUCGCACCACUUAUUGUCUUGUGUCGUUCUGGUGAAGCGAGUUCUCUUCCCGUUCCUGGCAGGGAAGGGGGAUGGAUGUGAGCUGCAGAGGGAUGGGAUCGCAAUCUGAGAUGAAGAUGGUUAUCAUGUAAGGAGCCAACGCAUAUUCAAGGAUGGAAGGCAAGUGUAACAUUUGA